UUAAUUAGUAUCUAAUGAACAUUUUAUUGGAAUCACAGUGCAUUACGAUACUUGUUCAAAGUUAAACAUACAUAAUUAAACUUUUUGGUAGCUUCCAGAUUAAAAAAAAAAAAAAUGGAACAGUUCCACGCUUGUAGCACAUUAUAAGGAUGUUUGUAGCAUACCGAAAUCUGUUAUAAACACAAAUGAACAAUAAGCCUAAUUAAUAACAUAUAUAUAUUAAAUAGUCAUUGGAAUGACGGAGUGAAGAGAUCUCCCAUUAUACUUCGAUGAGAAAAAUAUUCAAUAUUUUAAUUACAUUUUAUUGUAUUAAAAAUAAAAAGUAUCAGAAUCGGUACUUUAUUGCAACCGUACCAAUUGGAACAAUUCCAUAAAAAGGAAUGAAAAUUCCCACCACUAAUUGCAACUAGUCAGCAACCAAAAUUCGUCUUUUUUUAAGUAUUCCUACCAUACUACCUACCUACUAGUACUUGGAUUCGGUUGAUGUGUGGUAGGAAAAAUGUGAUUACGAGACGGCGGUGCUGAUUCAUUUGGGUGUACGAACGAAAAUUGUAGUCUCACGUGAGGCGGAGUACGUCUUUUUUUAAGCUACGCGUAAUGAAGCCAAAACGCCAUA